rnacentral:rRNA from 1 species
GAUGAACGCUGGCGGCGUGCCUAAUACAUGCAAGUCGAGCGAACGGACGAGAAGCUUGCUUCUCUGAUGUUAGCGGCGGACGGGUGAGUAACACGUGGAUAACCUACCUAUAAGACUAGGAUAACUUCGGGAAACCGGAGCUAAUACCGGAUAAUAUUUUGAACCGCAUGGUUCAAAAGUGAAAGACGGUCUUGCUGUCACUUAUAGAUGGAUCCGCGCUGCAUUAGCUAGUUGGUAAGGUAACGGCUUACCAAGGCAACGAUGCAUAGCCGACCUGAGAGGGUGAUCGGCCACACUGGAACUGAGACACGGUCCAGACUCCUACGGGAGGCAGCAGUAGGGAAUCUUCCGCAAUGGGCGAAAGCCUGACGGAGCAACGCCGCGUGAGUGAUGAAGGUCUUCGGAUCGUAAAACUCUGUUAUUAGGGAAGAACAUAUGUGUAAGUAACUGUGCACAUCUUGACGGUACCUAAUCAGAAAGCCACGGCUAACUACGUG